rnacentral:rRNA from 1 species
AUACGGAGGGGGUUAGCGUUGUUCGGAAUUACUGGGCGUAAAGCGCACGUAGGCGGAUUGGAAAGUUGGGGGUGAAAUCCCAGGGCUCAACCCCGGAACUGCCUCCAAAACUAACAGUCUAGAGUUCGAGAGAGGUGAGUGGAAUUCCAAGUGUAGAGGUGAAAUUCGUAGAUAUUUGGAGGAACACCAGUGGCGAAGGCGGCUCACUGGCUCGAUACUGACGCUGAGGUGCGAAAGCGUGGGGAGCAAACAGGAUUAGAAACCCUAGUAGUCC